CGCGCAGGCGGCCAGGUCAGUCGAAUGUGAAGGCCCCCGGCUCAACUGGGGAGGGUCGUUCGAUACUGCCUGGCUCGAAGAUAGGAGAGGGAAGUGGAAUUUCAGGUGUAGUGGUGAAAUGCGUAGAUAUCUGAAGGAACACCAGUGGCGAAGGCGACUUUCUGGCCUAUUCUUGACGCUGAGGCGCGAAAGCUAGGGGAGCGAACG
rnacentral:rRNA from 1 species